CAACAAGGAGAAGCAAAGAAAGAUGGAUGUCAUAGCAGAAGGUCCUGGUGAACCUACCUUUCAUUCACUCACUCAUUUAAGAAAUAUUUAUUGAGCUUCCAUUGUAUAUCAAGCCUUAUUCUGCAUAUUGGGAAAACAGCAAUAGGAGAAACAAAAAGCAAACACACAAAGCAGGGAAAAUUCCUUGCAUUAACUGAACUUACACUCAAUCUACAAAGACAGAGAUUAACAAUAUAUAAAGUACAUGGAAUGGUAAAUGUUGUAGAGAAAUGCAACACAAUGAAGGGGGUGCGGAGCAUAAGAGGUAGGAGAGAGGGUGUAUCUUAGUCCACUUGUGCUGCUAUAACCAAAUACCAUAGACUGGGUAAUUCAUAAAUAAAAGAAAUUUAUUUCUCGCAGUUCUGAAGACUGUGAAGUCCAAGAUCGAGGUACCAGCAUUGGAUGUCUGGUAAGGGCUGCUCUCUGUGCUUCAAAGAUGGUACCUUGUUGCUGCAUUCUCUGGAGGGGACAAACUCUGUGUCCUCACAUGGAAGAAGGUAGGACAAAAGGGACUAAGCUAGUUCUCUCCAGCCCUGUUAAAAGGCACUAGUUCAUUCAUGAGAGUGAAGCUCUCAUGACUUUAUCACUCCCCAAAAGCCCCCAUUUCUUAAUACCACCACAAUGGGGUUUAGGUUUCAACACAUGAAUUUUGGAGGGGACACUUUCAAUUCACAGCCAGGUGUUACUGUAAAAUAGAAUGAUCAGGGAAGACUUUACCAAUAAAGUGAAGUUUAGUCAGGGAAUUCUUCAAGAUUUAGAGUAAUUAAAAUAGGUCCAGGGUGACCCACUGGAGAAGCAGAGGCUGAAAGUGAUGAAAUGAAAGUACAAAUUGCCUCUAUCUUUUUAUUUAAUAAUAGUGGAGUACCUCCUCUGCUACUCAGUACUCAUGUUAAGUAUUUCCUACAUAUGCUAGAAUAAAGUUCCAAACCCUUGGCCCAGUGAGCAAGGAAGCAAGUUCAGAUAAUGAGACAAGUGGUAUGCAAGGAAUGAAUGUCAAGUCAAUUUUCUUAGAAGAGUAGAAGGUGUUGACCUCAUGGUCCAAGAUUUAGGUCUUCAUACAAUCCUCCACUUACUAAUUUACCUUCAAACAUGUUUGCUGUGUACCUACCUCAGGUUAUUUAAGUUUUGGAAACUCAAGUCUGUCUCUUAGAAUGUAGGAAAUAAGAAAACCAAGGAAAAGUGAACCAUUAUCAAGGCAUUUAACUGUAGUACCCGCAGCUCUCCCCUUGAUGAGUUGCCAACACUCUCAGUUGUCUCACUGUUCUGGAGGGGCAAUCCCAGACAGGAUGCCUCCAGCUAGUGUUCGUUCACCCACCAUUACACAAUCCUUGGCUCCUCUAGCCUCUUGCCACAACACAGCUUCAAGACCAUUCUAUUCAGGGGGUUGACUGCCUUGAGUUUAUGAUCCUAUCUCCAUAAAGAAAUCAGAAAAAUUUGGCCCAUAAUCCUCCUACCAGACCCUUCUGAUGCCUUGCCCACAUCCUCCAAGCACACACUUCUGUUCAUAAAAGGCUGUUGUCAGUGAAGAAUCAUGUAAUUCUCUGCCUUGAGGAAGCGAUAGCCAGAACACUGAAGUUUUAAUGGCCUUGCAAGCAGUCAUCAAAAAUGGAUGAGGAUGGAUGAGUGGAUACCCCAGCUUCUUUGACCCUAGGUUGGGAUAACUCCAAGGUGUGUGUUCUGCAUUGUCUCCCAGAGUUCCCCAGCUGAAUCAAUGUCUAAUUGCUCAUGUGAUAACUCACCUGAUAAUUAUCAAUCGCUUUACCGGCUAUCUGCUUUUCUCUGUCUCUUUUCCACCUUUCCUACCUUUUUUUUUUUUUCUGGAAUCUCUUCUCAAAUAAACUACUUGCCCAAAAAA
ensembl:lncRNA